AUUGAACGCUGGCGGCAUGCCUUACACAUGCAAGUCGAACGGCAGCACGGGAGCAAUCCCGGUGGCGAGUGGCGAACGGGUGAGUAAAGUAUCGGAACGUGCCCAGUCGUGGGGGAUAACGUAGCGAAAGUUACGCUAAUACCGCAUACGAUCUAUGGGUGAAAGCGGGGGAUCGCAAGACCUCGCGCGAUUGGAGCGGCCGAUAUCAGAUUAGGUAGUUGGUGGGGUAAAGGCCCACCAAGCCGACGAUCUGUAGCUGGUCUGAGAGGACGACCAGCCACACUGGGACUGAGACACGGCCCAGACUCCUACGGGAGGCAGCAGUGGGGAAUUUUGGACAAUGGGCGAAAGCCUGAUCCAGCCAUGCCGCGUGCAGGAUGAAGGCCUUCGGGUUGUAAACUGCUUUUGUACGGAACGAAAAGGACUGCCCUAAUACGGUGUCCCAUGACGGUACCGUAAGAAUAAGCACCGGCUAACUACGUGCCAGCCGCCGCAGUAAUAC
rnacentral:rRNA from 1 species